GGCUUCCUGGUCGAGUGGUAAGGACACUUGCCUCUCACGCUGGAUUCCCGGAUUCGAUCCCCGGUCAAGAAGCUA